CCAUGUGAGCUACUAAAUCAAGGAGAUGGUCAUGGUAGUUUCAUUAUCGUGGCUUAUGGAUCUGUACAGCCCCCUAGGGACCGGGUACGAUUGCACAACCAGCCAGUCGCUGAUAUUCACUAUGUGGUCAGCGUUUCAGACAUUGUGCCCGGUUUCGAAGCAUUUCCUCUUCCGCUGCCGAAUGCAGGAGUUGGUUUACAGUUAUUGUCUGAUGCUCUUGGCAGUUAUAUUCUAUGGCCGCGUGCAUUGGUGCGGUUAUCAAAUCAGGGUUCGGGGAAGGCCGACAGGAAGGGAAAGAAGGUAGCUUCACCUCAGGGAGGCCGACGUGCCCAAGUAAAUGUUUAUACGGCAAAGUCUCCACUCAUUACGGAUAUGGAGGUGGUGCAAGGCCUUACUCAACCGUGCUUCUGGCUACAUGAGUGCGUUAGCGAGGCAGACGAUGAAGCAUUGAUUGAGAUUAAGUUGUCGGACCGCCAAUUCCAUUACAUUGAGGAAACAUCGACCUUCAUUUCUAAGGUUGAUAUCAAAGAAUUCUUACUUGGGGACGAGUUGAAUGUUUCCAUGAUACAAACAUUCAUGAGGAUAUUAUACAAUGAUUUGAGCCAAUAUAGUCAGCCAAUGUUUGGUUGGUUAUGUCCAAGCUUUGUACGAGAUAACAGUUGCGUAAAAAACGAAGAGGAGGUGAAAGCAUAUCUCAAGGAAUCUUUGAACACCUGUUCUCGUAGUGGAUAUAAGAUCAUUCUUCUUCCUUACAUUGAAUCGAACCAUUGGACACUGAUUGCAAUAUGUUUGUCACUAACGAAGUCUACCACUUUGAUUCUUUGCGUAAAGGAACAAUACGGUCCUUACUAGUCAAAUCAUUGUUAAAUAGUGUGAUGAAAAAGCGUAGUGCAUCUGGACUUCGACAAGGAAAACCUCCUGUUUGGUAUUUAGUCGAGUGUCUGGUACAAAAAGGUGGACUUGCGUGUGGGUAUUACGUCAUGAGGUUCUUGCUCGAUAUCGUCAACUAUUGCAAAGAUGUUGGUGAUCUUUGAAAGGUUUAUGCGAAUUCCACACCACGUUUGAGGAACUUCACCAAAGAAGAAAUUGAUGAGGUUCGGGAUAAGUUGGCGUCCCACAUUACCGAUGAUUGCAUAGGAUGAGAUUUAGCCCGAAUGUAAAAGUUUCUAUCAAUCCUAUUUACACUUUUUACAUUAUUAAAUAUAUAUGAAGUUAAUUAUUACCUUUCUCCA